AGGAGGAGAGACCUACAUUUAAAAAGGCAGGAACCUACUAGCUCCAGAGCUCCUACAAUGCCGAAUGAGAAUUCCUAUUUAUGAGGUCAAACGGAGGUCAAGAAUUAUCCAGUCAUCUCUAAAACCCCCUACUUAGGGGGUCAAGCCAGGCUGGCAACCCAUGUUAGCUAAAUAGAACUUGAUCUCCCGAAAGCCUAAAACUGCUUUAUUUUUUCUUUCUUCCUUUCUUUCUUUCACUUUUUUACUGUUUUGCCAGAGAUACGGGUUGGCUUUUUUUUUUUUUUCUGUUACUUCCGGUUUGUGGCUGAACUUUCUUUGCCUUCCUUCCUUUUGGGGUGUGGGAGGGUUAAGCUGCUUCAAAAUAAUGUCCACUUAAAUAUGUUUUUAAAAAUGGGAGAGAAAGAGGAGCUGGGAUAGAAAGAAGAGGAAAGGAGAGGGAAAGGAGGGGGAGGCAGGAGAGGGAAAGAGGAUGUUAGAAGAGACAGCACACAGUAAUUUUGUUUAUGUUAUAACAUUUAGCACACUCCUAUUCAUGGAUGUGUUCCACAAUUAUGCUGUGAGAUGCACAAUGUCACUGUGUUCAAAGUACAGGUAAAGAAGCCGAGGCUCAUCAAAUCCUGGAACUGUGACCGACUCUAACCCUGAAGUCCUUGCGUUCAUUUAACCCUUUAAGGAAGGGUACGGAGGUGUACAUUCAUCCUUUAUUACAAAGCCUAUGUCUGAUAUGGAAAAAGAAAAGCUUUAUUCGGAACCUUUGGAAGAAUCUUAAGACUAUGAUUUCGUCUUUGGUCACUCCUUUGGAAUUUUUUGACGCGGGCAUUAACAUGGGCUAAGGUGGUCCUCGCAGCCCCACCCACGGGCGCACUUCCAGCUUCCGGCAGCAGGGGGAGCAUGUGUGCAAGAGGAGGAAAGGUGCACCCGGCAGGAAGUGUCAGUGCAUGGUCUGUCCUUAGCAGGUCCAGGCUAAGAAUACAUUCAUUUUUCUCCUUCAACAUUUAGAACCAGUGGCUGCAGGCUUCUCUACAGAGAUUCAUGCUUCCUCGUUUGUAAAGCCGGGAAAACAGUUCUGGGACUUGUAGAAAGAGGUCUCUGCUGCAUCCAAGGGAGGAAAAAAAAAUCUCAUGAAGGAGCCAGGCUUGGCUGCUGGCUUCUGUUGAGAAAGGAGAACUCAGCAAGCAGGACAAAGGGCCACCCUGAGUGCAAGCAGCACAGGACUUCUCCCGUUGACUUCCUGAGACCACCUCAAGGCUUGGAAGCUGCGCUAGUUCUGGCUUCUCCAAUGGUACAGGCUUGGGUCUCAGGCACCUGUAGGUGCUACUCACAUGGCAGAGCCCGUGAAUUAUGGCAGAGCCCGUGAAUUUCUUGGAGAUUCAUCAAAGAAUUCACCAAGAUCCAUCAAGAUUCUGGUCAUUCACCACGUUGUAUUACAUAGUGAAACCCUAUGCAAAAAAACCAAACCAAACAAACAAACAAAUGCAAAGAAGUAAUGGGGGUAGCCAGAUAGAAGUGGACAAACGGCCAGGCAGUGGUAACAUGCUCCUUUAAUCUCAGCACUCUAAAGGCAGAGGAAGGUUGGAUCUCUGUGAGUUCAAGGCCAGUCUGGUCUCCAGUGCAAGUUCCAGGAUAGCCAAUGCUACAUAGAAAAAAAAAAACCUGUCUCAACAAAGAGUAAGAAAGGAGAAAAAGAAAGAGGAGGAGGAGGAAGAGGAGGAGGAAGAAGACAGAAAUAAAGAAAAGAGAA
rnacentral:lncRNA from 1 species